rnacentral:lncRNA from 1 species
ACAACUGCCCCAUUCUUAGCAUGCAAAUGCUGAAAUUGGGUGGGAAAAAGGACAUACAGCUGUCAAAAAAAUAUUGUACUAUGUGACAUUUCAGAAAUUAGAUUAGAAUAUUUCAUUUUUUAUGCUAUCUUUGUGUAUUCUAUAUAAAGAAUAGGCAUUCACUCAUUCUGGGGGGAGGGAUAAGCAUAUUCAUUCUAAGAGGAAGCCCCCUAAAUCCUGAUUUUUAAUUCUCUCCUCAGUUCUUCCUUUAGCCAUAUAUAGAAACAGAAAACAAAAAAAAAGAGAAAAAGUUCUUAAGGCUGUUUGAUUUUCUUCCAUUUCUCUAGUACUCUACUCCAUCAUGUUGGGAUUUUGUGUCUGAUUCCGGAUUCCUGCUUCAUGCUGGUUGCUGUUGCUGUUUUUUCUGCUACUCAUUACUAGAGAUUUAUUUUCUAUUCUGGUCCAUUAUGCUGUAAUCAGGUAUUCACCUUAAAUUUAAGAUUCAGUUUUGUCAUGAAUAAGUUGAUUGCUUUAUUGUUUCUAUGAAGUCUUGAUCCUCUCACAUCAUGUAUUGAUUUCCUUACAUUUGAAUUAGUAAAUCUUGGUUCAUUUAAACUCAUGAGUGUUUCUUCUGUUAUUUGAUAUUUUGAUAUGAAAAGAGCAAGAAUCCAUUACUCUACUAUGUGAUUAUUUGAACUGGUGUAUUUAUUUUGCAACUAUGAGUCUAUUUUUGAGUUAAAAUGUCAUGUUGUUAAAAAAUUGAUUAUAAGAUGGGAGCUAAUCGAGUUUGUUUAACUCUAAACAUUAGUUAAAGUAGCUGUUAACAAUAUCUGGAGCAUGUAAAUAGCAGUUAUUAGUUUUUUUGAGUUUAAAUACUGUUUCAGCCUUGCUUUAGACCAUGCAGAAUCAGUUCAAAGUUGUUACUAUAGAGUUGGUUUAUGUGGAUUUUUGUCUUAAGUUUUGGAACGAAAAGAGAUGUUUUUUUUUACUGGAUAGAUGACUCUGGUUUGCUGAUCUGACCACCAGUUGGGUCAUAUUGGUGAAUUCUAAAGCUGAAGGAAUGGAUUCAGAGUCAUCUAUGGAUGGAGAUUAAGUAGAAGGCUUACCAUUUGAUCAUAUUUUGUUCAUAUAAUGAAUCAGUCAUGUAUGUAUUGAAAGUUAUAUUUGUUACUAUUAUUGAGGACUGUAUUGUAAAUUACCAGAUCUGUAAAUAUUAGAAUAUAUUUAGCUUUUUGUGUCAACUAAAAGGGACCAGUUGCCC